rnacentral:rRNA from 1 species
AGUGAACGCUGGCGGUAGGCCUAACACAUGCAAGUCGAACGGCAGCACAGUAAGAGCUUGCUCUUACGGGUGGCGAGUGGCGGACGGGUGAGGAAUACAUCGGAAUCUACUUUUUCGUGGGGGAUAACGUAGGGAAACUUACGCUAAUACCGCAUACGACCUACGGGUGAAAGCAGGGGAUCUUCGGACCUUGCGCGAUUGAAUGAGCCGAUGUCGGAUUAGCUAGUUGGCGGGGUAAAGGCCCACCAAGGCGACGAUCCGUAGCUGGUCUGAGAGGAUGAUCAGCCACACUGGAACUGAGACACGGUACAGACUCCUACGGGAGGCAGCAGUGGGGAAUAUUGGCAAUGGGCGCAAGCCUGAUCCAGCCAUACCGCGUGGGUGAAGAAGGCCUUCGGGUUGUAAAGCCCUUUUGUUGGGAAAGAAAAGCAGCAGGUUAAUACCUCGCUGUUCUGACGGUACCCAAAGAAUAAGCACCGGCUAACUUCGUG